rnacentral:lncRNA from 1 species
CGUCGUCACCUUCACCAUGAGCCGUGCGGCCUUUUCCAGCUGGGGCUCCCCACUGCUCAGAGAUAAAGGUUUCCAGAGGCGUCAGCAUGACGCUCAGCCCCGGCCUCUUUUUCUCUCGUUCUUGCACCAUCUGUCUGUUGAGUGCCUGCCACAUGCCAGGUGCAGCCUCAGAUGCCGGAGGCAUAGUCACUUUCGGAUGAGGGAAGCAGAUAGCCCACCAGCGAGCACAGGGACGUGCCAGGGGAAAAUAACAAGAAAGCUCUAUUUACAGAAAAACACCAGCUAAAAAAUGUAGAAGGAAUCUAAAAGGUAUCGAAAGUUACCACCUUGCAAGUGGAAUAUUGGUUUUGGCCAAAGAUGCUAAAAUGAUCAACAGAAGGGUCGUCCUUUCUGUUGGGAACCAGGAUGCUCACAAGGCAUUGCCCACAAGGGACACUAAUUGCAAAAGGGACAGUGUGCCUCCACAGGGGAACAGCUGGUGUCACCAUCUUAACAAGGGAUCUGACAGCAUCACCGUGGGGGGAGAAAGCCAACAUCAUGCACCUCCAGGAGCUCUCAGAGGUUGGAGGAACACGUGAACCAACACCAGGAGGAUACAGCCCGAGAGAUCAGCCAUGGGACAUUUCACAAGACCACGGCCAAGUCUCUUCACAAAGUCAACGUCAAACACACCAAACAAAGGAAAAAAAGAUAAAAGAGAAGAAAAAGAGCAAAAGGGAAGGGACUGCUCUAGCCAAAAAAGGACUACACAGAUACAAUGACCGGAUGUAAUAUGUGACCCCCAGAGGGAUACCGAUUCAAAAGAUGCAGCCAUGGAAAAUGUCUUAUAAGCACCAGGGCCAUUUAAAUGUGGACUAGAUGUCAGAUGGUCUUAUUGAACUAUGAUUGACUUUCUUAGAUGUGAUCAUGACAGUCUAUGUGAGAGAAUGUCCAUUUUCUUAGGAGGUGCCUUGUGGACACACUUAGGACUGCAGUGUCGGGAUGUCUGCAAAUUGCCUUCAGGGUCUCAGCCAGAAGGCAGGCAGGAAGAGACAGAGAUGGAUGGAGCCAUGCAGACACCAAGGUGAAGAGCUACUGAAUCUUGGUGGAGGGUCCCUGAGUCUUCAUUAUAAUUUUAACUUUCUUGAAGUUUUGAAGUUUUCAUAAUAAAAAGUUAGGAGGGAAACAUUUUAAAGUAGAGAAACUAGAUCUUCCCACAGAACACUGGGGACCCUUAUUAUUAUUAUUUUAAACCCUGCUCUUUGCUUUUUCAAAGUGAGUUUUGCUAAAAUAAUGGUAUCUAGCAUUUCUGAGAAAUUAGCACAAAUGUACAGCUACAUUAGCAACAGGAAAUUCAGCACAUCUGAGUCAUCUAUGUAAAUGGCAAUAAUGAAAAUGAGGGCUUUCGCUGCAUGUCUAAGAAAUGUCCUCUUUUGGAGACUCUUCCUUUUGUUUUACACCCAGAACUGUCUCAGAGGAGGUUCAACAGCAGGGCCUCAAGGGACCAGGAGUAGGUGGCAGACAUGAGGGAGCUCAAAGAGACCACAGCACCUGCAGGGAUGUGGGUCUUUAGGGCCAAAAUACCACGGACAUGCUAGUGCAGAGUGGAACCAUCUCCCUGGGAAAUAUUGAUCAACAGGCCAGUGUUGCCUUUCUUCAAACAAUUUAACUUAAGGAGCUCAUGCCCCUCAAGGUGACAAAGACGGUAAAAUGUGAAUUAAAUGAGCAGAUGUUACGUGUUUAGAACAGUGCCCUAAGUUUUCCCUGUUGUUACUCCCAAUGAUCACUGUAGGAGUUCAUUUCAAAAGCUAAGAACUGUCCGGCAGGCUAUACUAAAUGGAAAAGGUGGCAUGCUAAACAGCAACCUUGAUCUGUAUAAGCCAGCAGUUGUGUUAAAAAAAAAAAAAAAAGGUAUGGAGGGGGAGGGAGAGGUGAAAUAUAUCCUCUAGCGACACGCACAUGCUCAGAAAUGCCUAGGCUUUGCUGGGAGGCUGUAUGAACAAGGUCCACUAAGGGUUGCCGCCUUUGAGUAGGGACAUCAUGGGCCUAGGAUAACCAGACAGGAGAGAAAUUUACUUCCGCCAUAUUCUUUUACUGCUUGAAUUUUUUUCUUUACUAUGUGUGCAUUUUAACUCGCUAAUUAUACAUAUAUAAAUGAACCAGGUCCAAAACCUUAAGGUAUAUGAGUUAUCUCUACUCUGGGUUCUAAAUCUCUUCUGUCACCUUGGCUGUGGAGCUUAAAAUUAGAAUCCCGCAUCCUCUUGGGAGACAGCUCAAAAAAAGGCUGGUCUCAGAAUGAGCUUUAGAAACCUCCAGCACCUGUUCAAUCUUCUGGGGGAGCCAGUGCAGAGGGGGAAUCUAUUUUUGUGUUUCAUGAAACGAUCCCAUUUGUAUGUUUCCAUUUAUACAAAGUUUGGGGAACAAGCAAAAUGAAUCUGUGGUGGCAGGAGUCAGAAUUGUGACUCUCUUGGGGAUGGAGUGGGGUGUGCUGGCUGGAAGGGGCAGUGAGGGACCUUCUGGGGGCUGUGCAUGCUCUGAGUUGUGAUCUGAGUUGUGGUUGCCUGGGUGUGCAUGUAUGAGAACACUUACUGAACUUCCCAUUUUAAAAGGGUGCAUUUCACUGUCUGUAAAUUACACCAUCUAAUUAAAGAAAAUAGAAAGCAAAUUAAAUCCAUUCUCUGUAAACUGCAUUUGAGCAAAAGCAUUAACAAGCUGUGAUUGGCAGUAAGACAUUAGGGAACUCUGUCAUUCAAUUCUCAGCCACUCCCCAAAUCAGGCUGGAUUUUGUUUGUUUUUCAUUUCAGGCAUAACAGGUAUUGGCUUUAAAACUCCAGGACAAUGUGUGUGGCUGCAGAGAGCAGCAUUCAGUCCCAUGGAAGCACAGUCUGGAAGCACAGUCUGCUCACUGGACAAAGCUGAACUUGCUGUCUUUCCUUCUUCUCCUUCCUUCUCCUCUUUCUCCUUCUCCUUCUUCUUCCUCCUCCUCCUUUUUUUGCGACAGGUUCUCAUUCUGUAGCCCAGGCUGGAGUGCAGUGGUGUGAUCAUAGCUCACUGUAGCCUUGAACUCCUGAGCUCCAGCCCAGUGUUGCAAUCCUCCAGCCUCCCAAGUUGCUAGGACUACGGGUGCACACCACCACACCCAGCUAAUUAAAAAAAAAAUUAGGCUGGGUGCAGUGGCUAACGCCUGUAAUCCCAGCACUUUGGGAGGCCAAGACGGGUAGAUCACUUGAGGUCAGGAGUUCGAGACCAGCCUGGACAACAUGGUGAAACCCUGUCUCCAAUAAAAAUACAAAAAUUAGCCGGGAGUGGUGGCUCACUCCUCUAGUCCCAGCUACUCAGGAGGCUGAGGCACGAGAAUCGCUUGAACCCAGGAGGUGGAGGUUGUAGUGAGCUGAGAUCACGCCACCACACUCCAGCCUGGGCAACAGAGUGAGACUCGGUC